AUGGGGAGGGCUCCGUGCUGCGAGAAGAUGGGCCUCAAGAGGGGCCCCUGGACGCCGGAGGAGGACAAGAUCCUGGUCGCCCACAUCCACAGCCACGGCCACGGCAACUGGCGCGCGCUGCCCAAGCAAGCCGGCCUGCUGCGGUGCGGCAAGAGCUGCCGGCUCCGGUGGAUCAACUACCUGCGGCCGGACAUCAAGCGCGGCAACUUCACCGACGAGGAGGAGCAGUCAAUCAUCCAGCUGCACCAGCUGCUCGGCAACAGGUGCCUAUUACUCCUUGUCGCCUUCUUCCUCCUCCUCCUCAAUCACAUCCUUACUGUUCCCCUCCUGCUAAAACGGGGGCAAUCAUUGCCGCUUGCUUCAAUCGCAAAACAGAGAUGGUCCGCGAUUGCCGCCCGGCUGCCGGGGAGGACGGACAACGAGAUCAAGAACGUGUGGCACACCCACCUCAAGAAGCGGCUCGACCCCAGCGCGCAGGAGCAGCACGAGGAGGCCAAGAAGCGCAAGAAGCCGGCGGCGGCGGCGCGGAAGCGCGACGGCAAGGUCAAGAUGAGGAAGCUCGACGCGCUGACCGCCAAGGCGGCGCCCGUGCUGUCCUCGCCCGAGCGCUCCGUCUCGUCCACGGUCACCGAGUCGACGUCCACGGCCUCGGCGGCGGCGGAGCAGCACGGCAACUCGGGCAGCUCCGCGUCCGCCUCCGCGUCCGUCAAGGAGGAGUGCUUCACCUCGUCCGAGGAGUCGGAGGAGUUCCAGAUCGACGAGAGCUUCUGGUCGGAGACGCUGUCCAUGCCGCUGGACGACAUCAACGACGUCUGCAUGGAGCCCCACGACGCGUUCGGCAAGCCCACGGGCGCCGCCGACGGCGACAUGGACUACUGGCUCAAAGUGUUCAUGGAGGGCGGCGGCGACGACGACAACAACAACGGCGCGCUAGACUUACCGCAGAUUUAG
rnacentral:rRNA from 1 species